GUAGUCUCGCACAGAUGCAUAUCAAUAAGCGGAGGAAAAGAAACUAACAAGGACUUCCCCUAGUAACGGCGAGUGAAGCGGGAAGAGCUCAAAUUUGAAAUCUUAAAGGGUUUCCCUUUACGAAUUGUAGUUUAAAGAAGUGUUUUCUGUUGAGGUUUUGGUAAAAGUUCUUUGGAAUAGGACAUCAUAGAGGGUGAGAAUCCCGUAUUUGACCUUUACUUUCAACUUUGUGAUACACUUUCAAAGAGUCGGAUUGUUUGGGAAUGCAGUCCAAAAUGGGUGGUAAAUUUCAUCUAAAGCUAAUAUUGGCGAGAGACCGAUAGCGAACAAGUACCGUGAGGGAAAGAUGAAAAGAACUUUGAAAAGAGAGUUAAACAGUACGUGAAAUUGUCAAAAGGGAAGCGUUUGACACCAGUGUUGUUUUUCUGAAAAUCAAUUAAAGAACUGUUUAUGCUAAGUUGUUCAGACUUUAUCAGCUAUCUGUUUAGUUUUGAGCUUUUCUUUAAUGCACUUUUCAGUUAACAAGUCAACAUCAAUUUCUUUUGCUGUAAAAAAGCUUGAGGAAGGUGGCUUGAGAUUCGUCUUAAGUGUUUAUAGCCUCUUGCCUAUGCAGUCGGAGAGAUUGAGGUCUGCAGCGUAGAUCCUUCGGGGCUAAAUGCAUUUGUGCUAAGUUAUAGCAUUUUAUAGACAACUUGUUGACUAUGAUUUGUCUUGUAGCUUACUCGCUUAUGUUAUUUUACCUACGCUUAGGAUGUUGACAGCAGUAUAGACUGU
rnacentral:rRNA from 1 species